CAGCACGCCAACACAUGUAAACAU
rnacentral:miRNA from 1 species